rnacentral:rRNA from 1 species
AAUGAACGCUAACGGCAUGCUUAACACAUGCAAGUCGAACGGCAGCACAGCAGUAGCAAUACUGUGGGUGGCGAGUGGCGGACGGGUGAGUAAUGCAUAGGAAUCUGCCUUGUAGUGGGGGAUAACCCGGGGAAACUCGGGCUAAUACCGCAUAAUCUUUACGAAGCAAAGUGGGGACCGUAAGGCCUUACGCUAUAAGAUGAGCCUAUGUCGGAUUAGCUAGUUGGUGGGGUAAAGCCUACCAAGGCGACGAUCCGUAGCUGGUCUGAGAGGAUGAUCAGCCACACUGGGACUGAGACACGGCCCAGACUCCUACGGGAGGCAGCAGUGGGAAUAUUGGACAAUGGCGAAAGCUGAUCCAGCAAUGCCGCGUGAGUG